rnacentral:rRNA from 1 species
UACAGAGGUCCCGAGCGUUGUUCGGAUUCACUGGGCGUAAAGGGUGCGUAGGUGGCAUGGUAAGUUUGAUGUGAAAGCUCAGGGCUCAACCCUGAAAUGGCAUUGAAUACUACUGUGCUGGAGGUUUGGAGGGGGGACUGGAAUUCUUGGUGUAGCAGUGAAAUGCGUAGAGAUCAUGAGGAAGACCAGUGGCGAAGGCGGGUCUCUGGACAGUUCCUGACACUGAGGCACGAAGGCCAGGGGAGCAAACGGG